GUGUGAAUUGCAGAAUCCCGUGAACCAUCGAGUCUUUGAACGCAAGUUGCGCCCGACGCCUUCGGGCUGAGGGCACGCCUGCCUGGGCGUCACGCAUCGCGUCGCCCCCUAUACCAAUUUGGUGCAGGGGGCGGAUAAUGGCAUCCCGUUAGCUUGGUUUGCCCAAAAAGGAUCCCUCAUCGACGGAUGUCACAACCAGUGGUGGUUGAAAGAUCAUUGGUGUUGUUGUGCAUCACUCUGUCGCAUGCUUGGGCAUCGUUAUAAAACAAUGGUGCUAACGCGCCUUCGACCGCGACCCCAGGUCAGACGGGACUACCCGCUGAGUUUAAGCAUAUCAAUAAGCGGUGGAGAAGAAACUUACAAGGAUUCCCCUAGUAACGGCGAGCGAACCGGGAAUAGCCCAACUUGAGAAUCGGGCGGCCACGCCGUCCGAAUUGUAGUC
rnacentral:rRNA from 1 species